rnacentral:rRNA from 1 species
UACGGGGGGGGCAAGCGUUGUUCGGAAUUACUGGGCGUAAAGGGCUCGUAGGCGGCCAACUAAGUCAGACGUGAAAUCCCUCGGCUUAACCGGGGAACUGCGUCUGAUACUGGAUGGCUUGAGUUUGGGAGAGGGAUGCGGAAUUCCAGGUGUAGCGGUGAAAUACGUAGAUAUCUGGAGGAACACCGGUGGCGAAGGCGGCGAUCUGGCCCAACACUGACACUGAGACCCGAAAGCGUGGGGAUCAAACAGG